GACGAACGCUGGCGGCGUGCUUAACACAUGCAAGUCGAACGGAAAGGCCCUGCUUUUGUGGGGUGCUAGCGUGGCGAACGGGUGAGUAACACGUGAGUCAGCUGCCUAUGACUGUGGGAUAACUUGAGGAAACUGGGGCUAAUACCGGAUAGGAGCUCCUGCUGCAUGGGGGGGGUUGGAAAGCUUCGGCGGUUGGGGGUGGACGCGCGGCUUGUCAGUUUGUGGGUGGAGGAGCGGCUUACGAGGUGUUUGACGGGUAGUCGGCCUGGGAGGGUGACCGGCGACCAGAGUACUAAGGGACGGACCAGUGUCCAACGUGGGGCAGCAGUGGAGAAUAUUGCACAAUGGGCGGGAGCGUGAUGCGGAAACGCUGCGAGCGGAAAGACGGCCAUCGUGUUGGAAACCGCAGUCACCUAUGACGUAGCUGGAUUGACGUUAAUAAGAGAAGAAGCACCGGCUAACUACGUG
rnacentral:rRNA from 1 species